UUCUCACCUGAAGAAACUCACACACAUAGCCAGAGUCAAGUAAUAUGGCUUCGCGUUUUGAAUGAAUAUAAAAAGUGUUAAGUGUAUGUUACUAUAUAUAUAGUCGACCUCAACUGGCUUGGAAUUGAAGCUAACUAAAAGCUGAACACAAAGACAGGUAGAUGUUUACCUCCACUCUGAAAUUGGGAGUAUUGGGUUGAGUUGGUGCCUGCAUUGAUGAAAAGACGCAUCAAAACUCAUACGUGAACACAUCUAACAUGGUGGUCACGAUAAGAGGUCGUGGAGGACACAUAUUAGGAUAGCAGGUUAGUAGGUAGUAGAGCGUUGUCUCGCUUAUUUUUCCAUAUUAGUAGUCAUAGUGUUAUUCGUGUAGCUUCUUGUACUUCGAUUAUUUCUUCACUUCCACUAUUUCUUGUUUCGACCAUCUUUGAAAUGUUUUUCCUUGAGCCGAGGGUCAAUAAGAAAAAACAUCUCUACUUCCCAAGGUAGGAGUAAGGUUUGCGUACACUCUACCCACCUUCCAGACCCAGACCCCCUCCCCCCCCCCCUCCUCGUGGGAUUGUACUAGGUAAGCUAUCCACUCUUUUUCGGUAUAAACAUCAUCGAUCACUGUAUAAAGUUAUCGAACACAUACUUGUUUUCCAAGGCUUGUGAUGUUUUCUCCACCCACUGUUGAAUUCUUCUGCAUGAUUGACAUCAACAAGAGAAUUAAUUGUUUGACAAAUAAGAAACGAUGAUUUAGAACUCGUAAUAUAACUCACAAGAAUGUUGUUAGUGUGGAGCACAAGCAUAACAGGUUACACAUAGAGAGGAAACUUUGUUGCUGCAUAUUGCAUAACAUUUCUCUCUAUGGAUGAAAUGAACUCAAAACAGUCGAUUCAAUGGAGCGAAUGUGUAUGUAAAGACUGUCAAUCAGUUACCUUCUUUUCAGGUUCUCCUAGUGUCGGAAGGCCGUAAUGAACAAUGUAUUCAGCAUCAACAACUCCAAUAUUUCGAGUUCUAUCUCCCUAUCACGAAAAUGAACCAAAAGAGCAUCAACAACUCAUGACUGUAACUCAAACGAGCUAUCGAUAUAACAAACGAAAAAUAAAUGCCCUGUCUCAUAUCCAGAACUACCUGUGCACAGUAACCAAGCUGAAUGUCUAAACCCCAAGCAUGGAUCAAGUCAUUCUGCGAAACAACGAUAGAAGGAAUAAGAGAAAAGGAGAUUACUGCUACAACAAUUCCUAGUUAUUUCCCAUGAAGAUAUCCGCGACAAGGCAUAAAACAAAAUUAAGUUACCCUGUACAAGGAGGAGCCAUACUGGUAUAGUCACAUCGAGUGCCAGUAUCGCCAGCCUUAUAAGUCCUUCUGCAAUGUAAUGUGUUAAUCAUGUUUCAACAUCAAAAUCUAUGGCCAAACAAGAGCUUUAAGACGGAAAAUUGUUGAUAAGAACCUGUGCACUCGUGAUCUCCUCCCGCGAGCGGUAAUCUGAUGAUGCACCUCGGAUUUUCCAAUAUCUAGAGCUGGUUGCGAAAUCUCAAGACCUUCAUCUUUUACAAUAGAUAUGUAUCUACAAGGAUGAAACAAGUCGGGUUCAGUAAAUGCAGUGUCUUUUUCAUUACCAAAAGACGGGAGAUCCUUGGGCGGGGAUGGUCCUGCAUUUGUUUGUCUGAUUUUGACUUGACAUGGAGUUCAAGAAAAUAAAUGAGACUUUUGAGUCUCGUGAUCUUAAACAUGUCAUGUGGAAAGUUAGAACGAAAGAGUUGCUGAAAAAGGGAAAAAAGAGAAGUUUUUUUUGGAACAGACUAAAGGAAAGUAUACCAACUUUCACAUACCGGUUUAGGUUGAAUUUUUCAACUCCGAGGUCUUCAUCCCAGAGGAAGAUAUAACUAUACUCAGCAACUAUAUCUGGAUGUAAAAAUCUCUUUGCAAACCACCUGUUAUUUUCACAACAUUCGGAAAAUGUCAAGAUAGUUUUGGUUCAAACACAAGACGUUUCUAGACUAAAGCAACUCCGUCUGAGAUGCAAAUAGAAACUGUACCAUUUUGUUUGAUUCAAAGCUGAGAUGUGUAUUACACUGUUACUCCAUUCAAAAGUCCUCCAUCCAUCGACAUUACCAUCGUAGUGAAAAAGCAUCACCACAAAAUCACUUGAUAGAAACUACGAACCAAUUCAAUAAACGAACUUAUGGUUAACUCUGUAUAUGUCAUAAAAAUAUGCAACGUAACAGAACACACACCUUUAGUACCAUCUUGUUUACUGUUUCUUUUUGCUUUAUCCCAACAGCUGCAGCAAAUAAGUACUUUGAAGGCUCUUUUUUCUGUUAAAAACCGAAACAUGAAUUUUAUUUGCAGAUAAAUUCAACUCUGCAUUUGAAACUUAUGAGGAACGCGGAGAAGAUGGAUAUGAAUAUAACCUCUGGAUAACCCCAUAAUGGCCGUCUUUCAAA